rnacentral:lncRNA from 1 species
GCUGGUGUGCGGCCUUGCACCGCCUCAACCAACCCUGACCCGCUUCGGGCUCCGUGAGCCCAGCGCUGCGGGAUCUGGGAGGCCGAGGCGCCCCCAGGGGAGGGCGUUGGGGCUGGGGGCGGUGGAGGAGGGAGGGCGCUCAUCCCACCCCCACACCUCCUCCCGGGCCCAAGUCCUAGCAUCUAUCAAAGCUCAGGGUCUGAUUAGCUGUUUGAUUCGAUAUGCUUCCGUUUCAUUUGGGGUUUGUUUUCAAAAUAGUUUGUCUUGGGGAGCGGGGCUUUAGAAAGGAAAAGGCCCAGGACCAAUUCAGCAGAAGAGCGGCCUUUUGCUGCCGCCCUGGCCCUGCCCCGGCAGAGCGUUCGUGUCAAAGGAGACAAGAUGGAAGCUGGAGUCUUAGGGACCCAGAUUCUUGGAGUCCAGAAGAUGCUCUCUGUCCAGAUGGCGAUUCUCCUGAGCCCCAGCUCCCGGAGACAGAGGCUGGCCUGUUUGUUCACCUCCGCACACUCGGCCCCCAGCACUGUGCCCGUUGGCACGGGUAGGAUGAAGGAACCAUCUCUGCCAAGGCCACGACUAGCGCUCUUGGAUCUCCAGGCAGGGCUCCUUCCUCUGCCCCGACUCCCCGUUCCUCACCCCUUCCCAGCCUGCGCACCCUUAUGGCGCAUUUUCUGCCAGUCCCUUGUGCCCAGCACUCUCUUUCCAAACUGCGCUGGGGGCCCAUCCUGGCUCUCCUGAGCGCCCUGCUGCUGGGGCCCGUGUAUCUUAUGGCUCGUAAUGCCUUCGAGCAUGGAGUCAGCCCAUUCAUUGAAGGAGGGACGGCAGGUCUCUUCUGCAAAACCAGGAAAUGGUGGGCAGUCGUGUGUGAUUCUAACCAGACUCUGUAGUGGCGUUUCCACAACAGCAAAAUCUAGACUUACCCCAACAAAAUAACAACCCCAAGGUUUUAUUUCCUUUUCCAUGUAAACAAUUUUGCUCAUACGCCUCUAUUUAUUAUUCUGGUUUUUAAAAG